rnacentral:lncRNA from 1 species
CCGGGCUCAUUUCACCUUUGAAUGUAUCGGCAUCAUAGUGGUAAGUAGUUUUGAAUGAUCCAGAUUUAUCCAUUUAUGGACGUCGCGAAACCGGAGAGAUUGAGAGGGAGAGAAGCUUUGGGCGAUGGAAAAUGAAGAGGUUUUGUAAAGAUUCAAGGAUUUGGAUUUGGAGUAGAAAUGAUUCAGGGGUGGCAGCUAUCGAUU